rnacentral:rRNA from 1 species
CCUACGGGAGGCAGCAGUAGGGAAUAUUGCUCAAUGGGGGAAACCCUGAAGCAGCAACGCCGCGUGGAGGAUGAAGGUUUUCGGAUUGUAAACUCCUUUUGUUAGAGAAGACAAUGACGGUAUCUAACGAAUAAGCACCGGCUAACUCCGUGCCAGCAGCCGCGGUAAUACGGAGGGUGCAAGCGUUACUCGGAAUCACUGGGCGUAAAGGGCGCGUAGGCGGGAUAGCAAGUCAGAUGUGAAAUCCUAUGGCUUAACCAUAGAACUGCAUUUGAAACUGUUAUUCUAGAGUAUGGGAGAGGUAGGUGGAAUUCUUGGUGUAGGGGUGAAAUCCGUAGAGAUCAAGAGGAAUACUCAUUGCGAAGGCGACCUGCUAGAACAUAACUGACGCUGAUGCGCGAAAGCGUGGGGAGCAAACAGGAUUAGAUACCCCAGUAGUC